rnacentral:rRNA from 1 species
UACAUAGGGGGCAAGCGUUAUCCGGAAUUAUUGGGCGUAAAGAGUGCGUAGGCGGUUGACUAAGUCUGGUGUAAAAUCCCACAGCUUAACUGUGGAGGAUCAUUGGAAACUGGUUAACUAGAGUACGGUAGAGGUAAGCGGAAUUCUAAGUGGAGCGGUAAAAUGCGUAGAUAUUUGGAGGAACACCGGUGGCGAAGGCGACUUACUGGGCCGGAACUGACGCUGAUGCACGAAAGCGUGGGGAGCAAACAGGAUUAGAUACCCUGGUAGUCCACGCCGUAAACGAUGAUCACUCGCUGUUGGCGAUACACAGUCAGCGGCUAAGCAAAAGCAUUAAGUGAUCCACCUGGGGAGUGCGGCCGCAAGGCUGAA